rnacentral:rRNA from 1 species
ACACCGGCAGCUCAAGUGGUAGCCGCUUUUAUUGGGCCUAAAGCGUCCGUAGCCGGUCUGAUAAGUCUCUGGUGAAAUCCCACAGCUUAACUGUGGGAAUUGCUGGAGAUACUAUCAUGACUCGAGGUCGGGAGAGGCUGGAGGUACUCCCAGGGUAGGGGUGAAAUCCUGUAAUCCUGGGAGGACCACCUGUGGCGAAGGCGUCCAGCUGGAACGAACCUGACGGUGAGGGACGAAAGCCAGGGGCGCGAACCGGAUGAGAUACCCGGGUAGUCCUGGCCGUAAACGAUGUGGACUUGGUGUUGGGAUGGCUUCGAGCUGCCCCAGUGCCGAAGGGAAGCUGUUAAGUCCACCGCCUGGGAAGUACGGCCGCAAGGCUGAAACUUAAAUGAAUUGGCGGGG